rnacentral:rRNA from 1 species
GACAGAGGUGCCGAGCGUUAGGCGGAAUCACUGGGCUUAAAGCGUGUGUAGGCGGGCCGUUAAGUAUCUUGUGAAAUCCCCCGGCUCAACCGGGGAAUGGCUGGAUAUACUGGCGGUCUUGAGCAGUCUAGGGGCAGAUGGAACAAGUGGUGGAGCGGUGAAAUGCGUAGAUAUCACUUGGAACGCCAAAGGUGAAAACACUCUGCUGGGCCGACACUGACACUGAGAGACGAAAGCUAGGGGAGCGAAUGGG